AAAAAAAAAAAAAAAUUCAUUUUCUCUUCUCUCCUCUCUCCCGUGAAAUCCCAGAAACCAUAGACAACGAUUUCGAUUUCUCCUGCCGUCGCUCCCUCCGCUUCUCCUCCGGCUUCAUCUCUUCGAUCCUUUCACCUCUCCAUUUCUAUUUCUCCUCUCCUCCGCAGUGGAAGCGACUAAGAAAAUCUCAGAAUAUGUUUCUCAACUUAGGAGACUUGGCAAAGGACAUGGUAACCAUCUGUUUUAUAGAGCAACAGAUUUGAAAACAAAGGAGAUCAAAGACAGGUGGAAGCGACUAAGAAAAUCUCAGAAGAUGUUUCUCAACUUAGGCAACUUGGCAAAGGACAUGGUAACGACCAAGUAUGUUUACAAGAUUGAUGAGACCAAAGAGUUGAGUGGAGGAUGUGUUCAAAUGGAGGCAAAAGCCUUCGAGACAUCUCCUCUUAGUAUCUAAUUAUAACAAUGAGAGAUGUGUAUAUAUAUGGUUUUCAAGAAAAUUUGAAGUUGUGAUAUUCUAGCUAAUUAACAUGAUGAAUAAAACUUUAGUGAUUAUUCUCAUCAAA